UAUAUAUAUAUAUAUAUAUAUAUAUAUAUGUAUAUGCGUUUAUAUUACGCUGUCGAAAACUCAAACUGUCCACAGCGUAAUAAUCAACACGAAAAUGUCAAAACCCCCGAACAUCGA